rnacentral:rRNA from 1 species
AGGACGAACGCUGGCGGCGUGCUUCAUACAUGCAAGUCGAACGAUAAGGUCUCUUCGGAGACACAUAAGUGGCGGACGGGUGAGUAAUGUGUAGAGAAUCUGCCCUAGAGUGGGGGACGACAGUUGGAAACGACUGCUAAUACCGCAUAUGCGCGUAGCUGAGAUGCUAUUCGUGAAAACUCCGGUGCUCUGGGAUGAGUCUGCAUCUGAUUAGCUAGUUGGGGGUGUAAUGGACCACCAAGGCGACGAUCAGUAGCUGGUUUGAGAGGAUGAUCAGCCACAAUGGGACUGAGACACGGCCCAUACUCCUACGGGAGGCAGCAGUAGGGAAUUUUGCGCAAUGGGGGAAACCCUGACGCAAGCAACGCCGCGUGAUUGAUUAAGCCCUUCGGGGUGUAAAGAUCUGUCAGUGGGGACGAAACUUGACGGUACCCACAGAGGAAGCAUCGGCUAACUCCGUGCCAGCAGCAGC